GGAAUUUUAACACUGGGUCUUCCUGAAUGAGAGACCCCUCGCUUCUGAGAAGAGUCCAACUUUCAAGUUCUGGUCAUGACUUUGACCUUGGGUUCCGUUGGAAGUAGGAUCUUUGGUUCCUCGGUCGUUUCAGGGCUGUUUGAAGGAAUAUUAGAGUGAAGAUGCGUAAACUUGGAAAAAUACCUAGGCACGUGGAGAGACAGAUGAUGUUUUGUCGCUAUGGGUUGAAGCAAAAACUCCAGGGGGAAUGGAGAGAGGAUUUUUUCUCUUAUUCACAAGGCAAAGCACGCUCUGCUACCAAAAAAGAAAAAUCAGCCAUUGACAUCACUGCUCCUGACCUCCAACAAUCAACAUCCCCGUCACUUGAUGAUCCUCCUUCCUCCUUCAAUAGGCCAAUAAUAGCCUAAUGCUAUGUUGCAAUGCCUACAUCAUUCUCCUCACGUCAUCCCAUCACAUGGCGUUGUAUCACCUCACAUCAUCACAAGAAGAAGCGUGAAUACAGUACAAUAAGAUAUUUUGAGAGAGACAGAGAAAACAUAUUGAC